rnacentral:lncRNA from 1 species
CUAUCUUGGUGAAUACCAAAUCAGUUUAUCUUGCCCACACCUCCAUCUGAGCCUCAGUCUUUGAUACAUAACUCUCUACCUUAUAUCUCCACUUGAAUAUCCAGUAGACAUUUAAAAGUCAAUAUAUAAAAAAACUGAAUUAUUUUGGAUUGCUGGGAAGAAGGUGGCAUAGGAGGACUCUGAACUCACCUCCUCCCAUGGACACAACAGAUUUACAACUACUCUUGGAACAAUUACCUCUGAGAGAGAAUUGGAAAGUAGAUUUAAAAAAAAACCCACAAUAACAGACAGUGCUGACUCAGGUGGAAGAGGGAAAAAUAUCUUUCUGGAGAGGAAAAAAGCCACAUUGUAUCCCCAGUGCUUCACAGCUGGGAGUAAUCUUAGGCAUGAAGCUUUCCCUGGAGGAGCAGGGGAUCUGAGCAGGAGAGCUUUGCCACAAUAAGAAGCUUUUGAACUUGGCACAAUCAAGAUGAGUGUCAUAAUAGCUGGCUUCAUUUAUUCUGAAAGUAAAUUAUUUAAAUAUGGAGAAAAUUAUAAAUUACAUUAUUUCAAAGUGUUUUAGCUAAUGGAAAGGUGGUUUUCAAAAAGUCUCUGACAUCUAUUUUAGCCAAGCUAUUUUCUGACGUUCAAAAUAUAAAAUAAUAAAUUGUUCUCCUGAAAAUUAAUUCAUUUAUGUUUAAGUUAGAAGAAAAGAAGGAAAGCAUAUGGGACUCAGGUAAACAAUGGAGUGCUGGCCCAUGUCUGGUCAAUAGAGAAUCUACUGUGUCCUGUGUUACUCAUGAUUUGCAAAUUGAAAUCACCUAAUUGAAUUCCAAAUCAUCAAUACAAGUCCAAUAAAUCAUGUGAUGUUGAAUGGAAUAUUUCCUAAGGUUUAAAACAUGUAAUUAAGAAUAGUUUCAUAAAGUCCACUUAAAACAUGUUUGCAACAAAACUCAGCUCAUGCUCUGGAAAUAUUCUGAAUGAUUUCUGAUUAAAACCAUUCUGGCUGACUGCCAUAUCAAUUUAUGUUGAAUUGUUUUCCAUUACGUUCUAGCCUUCCAUCCUCUCAGUAAUUUUACAGGUAACAGAAUGUUCAAUGUGAAGGUGCAAUUUGAGCCACCUAGAUUCCAUAGAUAUGACAUUCUGAAGUAAAAUGAUAGACCUGAAGGAAAAAGAUUGUGAAAAGACUUGUUAGGAGAGUGCUGCUGUUGUCAAAAGGUACUAGUCUACUAAGGGAGAAGGAAAAGACUCUGAUGGGCACAAACAGAGACCAGUGGUAACACAGGUGGAUGACUGCUUGGGUAGCAUAACGAAAUUGGUCUUCGCGCCAUCUGGGACAUAAUAGUACUUCCUUCUGCAUGGGGGCCAACAUUUUCAGGCAAGUUUUUCUGUAUCAAAUGUGGAAUUCUUGGUAAAGUAUGCCUGUCUGUGGCCAACUGAUAUUCAGCACAAAAGGACCCUGUGGAAAAAGCAACAUAACUCUAAAUAUAACUGUCUAUGUG